UACGAAGGGGGCUAGCGUUGCUCGGAAUCACUGGGCGUAAAGCGCACGUAGGCGGCUUUUUAAGUCAGGGGUGAAAUCCUGGAGCUCAACUCCAGAACUGCCUUUGAUACUGAGAAGCUUGAGUCCGGGAGAGGUGAGUGGAACUGCGAGUGUAGAGGUGAAAUUCGUAGAUAUUCGCAAGAACACCAGUGGCGAAGGCGGCCAACUGGUCCGGCACUGACGCUGAGGUGCGAAAGCGUGGGGAGCAAACAGG
rnacentral:rRNA from 1 species